rnacentral:rRNA from 1 species
CUACGGGAGGCAGCAGUAGGGAAUCUUCGGCAAUGGACGGAAGUCUGACCGAGCAACGCCGCGUGAGUGAAGAAGGUUUUCGGAUCGUAAAGCUCUGUUGUAAGAGAAGAACGAGUGUGAGAGUGGAAAGUUCACACUGUGACGGUAUCUUACCAGAAAGGGACGGCUAACUACGUGCCAGCAGCCGCGGUCACU